CUUUCAGCAACGGAUCUCUUGGUUCUCGCAUCGAUGAAGAACGCAGCGAAAUGCGAUAAGUAGUGUGAAUUGCAGAAUCUAGUGAAUCAUCGAAUCUUUGAACGCACAUUGCGCCUUCUGGCAUUCCGGGAGGCAUGCCUGUUCGAGAGUCA
rnacentral:rRNA from 1 species